GAUCAUGGCUCAGGAUGAACGCUAGCGACAGGCUUAACACAUGCAGGUCGAGGGGCAGCAUGAGGUAGCAAUACCUUGAUGGCGACCGGCGCACGGGUGAGUAACGCGUAUGCAACCUGCCCGAUACCGGGGUAUAGCCCAUGGAAACGUGGAUUAACACCCCAUAGUACUUUUAUCCUGCAUGGGAUGUGAGUUAAAUGUUCAAGGUAUCGGGUGGGCAUGCGUCCUAUUAG
rnacentral:rRNA from 1 species